GCAGGACUGUCAGGAUGUACGUGAAUCCUGGGGGGUGAGACUGGAUCCGCGCGACCAGCAACUACCCAAGCGCUACUGUGAAAAGCGUAUCUGUACCUCUUGUCGUCGCAAGUGUUUUCGUUGGUCGAGCAACAGAUACGUAUAAAACAAUCGGACGACACGUGCAGAUGGGGAUACCGUUUGUCGACGUCGGAACAUAGAAGGAAAAAAAGGAAUCGGUGAACGAGAUUCGUAGAAUGCUUAUCUUUCGUAACCGCUCAUUAAGCGUUUUGAGGCAAUCAGCGAGAUUCGAGAUCCUGAGCGAAUAUCAGAGGUUGCUCGACAUCGUCGACGGGCUCUCACACCUCUCGUCAACAGGACUUGUCUUCACCUCGAGAUCCGAACGCUGACAAGGUUUAAAGCCGUGGCGUGAACGCGGCAUCGGAUGAAUCAGAAAGAACUCCCCCGAGUCGACUACACCUCGUGGCUUAUCAUCGAGACAUCACUCUCCGAUCUAUGCCCUCUCUCUUUUCACAGGAAUCUCCUCCUCUCCUUUCUGCCGGUUUCCUCUCUCUGAGGUAAAACCGAUCGAGAAACGUGGAGAGGAGGAUCGGGAGGAAGGGAAAGUUUCCACGAGGAAGGAGGGGUUUCUCAAAGAUCCUCCUACGCGGACACCCACGCUAGGCUAACUUGCGUUCACAAGAUGCUAACUACAUCCUCUUCCUCUGAAUCCCGUGCCAAAAGGCGGAGUCUUCGAGGACGGGGCAAACACUCGGGGGUAGCACGGUACGCUCUCAGGGACGAGGCUCGUCUCUCGUGUACCUCGACGUUAAACCAUCAGGGUUAAUUGAUUACAACGAGGUGUUGAUUCGGUGAUACCGCGUCACAACGAUAUAAGUUAAUUUUCUUUACGUAUUAUUAUUCUUUCACGGUCUUCUUUGUGGGAAUCUGUCUAAUUAUGUGAACCUAUUCUUUUUUUUUUCUUUUAAACAAUCAAACAUUCGUAGCAGACUUUAGUUCAACAUUAAGUAAACAAGUGAUUAUCGAUUAGACGAUCUACAUAUAUAGAUCUUUAUCUUUUUCUUAUCAAUUACGAAGUUAGAUUAUCUGACCGUUAUUUAAAAUUUUUUAUGUACAUAUUGUUUUUAAAUCGAAGCACUUUUUGGAAGAGAAUUUAAGAAGUAGCAAUUUAAGGGAACGACAUCAUUUUUUAGCUAAAAGUUCUUCAUUCCUGUAAUACAUCGCAUCACACUAAUUGGAAAAAUGUUAUAAGUACAAACAUCUGUAUAUUCUGAAGUUAUUAUAUUUCCAAUUCCUGUAAUUAUUUACAAACGGUAGUUGUGCAUUACUUUUAUUACUAGUUUUAAAAAUCGGUGUUCGUUUAGAACUUUAGAGAUUUAUUAUUAGCAGUUCAUACAUAACAUACAUGUCCACCAUAUAUGAAAUUUCGUCAUUCCAAAACUUCAAAUAUCGAAAUAUGUAUCUGUCUUGAACUGUUAAGAUUAUCGAGUAUCUAAUCAGAUUGUACUUAUUACUUUAGCAUGGACCUGAACCUAUAUCGAUUUAAGCUGCUAAAGUAUCUAAUCAAAUUAAUAAUAAAGUUCUGUAUUUGGAAAAACGAAUAGAUUUGUAUAAUUAAAUAUGUGUGUAUUACAAAUUUGUAUUAUUGGACAUUCUUUUCGCAACGAUAUGAUUAAUAGUACCAGUAGCUUUUCAGGUAUAUAUAUGUAAGUACAUACGUAUAAAAUGUCUCGUGAACAAAUUAAGAAUCGGACAAGAUGAUUCUAUAAAGCAUGAAAAAAUGGAUAUAUAUAAGAUGGUGACUAAAGAUAUUAAGCAUAAAUGAGAACAAAAGAGGUAAAUGAAUGCUUUUUUGUGAGUUUUAUUUAGAAGAUAGAAAUUAAUGUACAAGUACAAGGGAGGCGGAUGACAGGUGUUUGUUGCGCUAAUUUUUACAGAACAGUACCUUAUGAUUUCUUCUUACAUACGAUUCGUAGUGGUGACAUCACUGAAAAAUAGUUUUACGACCUACAUGAUACAUGAAGAGUAUGUCAAGGGACUGAACAAGAUCGAUAAUAAAAUAUAAAUGUGGUCACAUGAGAUUAGUGAAAUUAUUCCCGACAAAAGGGACCGUUAAUGUUUAUAUGAUGAAUCCUUACAAAUCGGGGUUUCUUCUUACAUUCCUUGUUUUUUAAAUUGUAUGUAUAUAUAUGCAUAACUUCGCUACUUGCAUUAUACACAUUUACAGCCUGCUUUUAUAGUAGUUCUAUCAUUACCAUUUCCUCCCGAAAAUUAGUAAUGCAAUGCAUGUCAUGAAGAAUCCAGUGAAACUUCACGGAUACACGAUACUUUGUAUAUCAUAAAUUUAUUUUGGGAUACAGGUAUAAAUAAGGAAUAUAUAUAUGUGUAUAUAUAUAUAUAUAUAUAUAAGUCUUUUUUCUUUUAAAAAUAUUCAUUGAAAUCGAUUUUUACUGAAUAGCUAAAACAUUCUGUUUUUUUGCGAUUUAUAAAAAUUUAAUUACAAAAGCACAUU